rnacentral:rRNA from 1 species
UACGGAGGGUGCGAGCGUUGUCCGGAAUCAUUGGGCGUAAAGGGCGCGUAGGUGGCCUGGUCAGUUCGUGGUGAAAGCGCGGGGCUCAACCCCGCGUCGGCCAUGAAUACUGCUAGGCUUGAGCACUGUAGAGGCAGGCGGAAUUCCGGGUGUAGCGGUGGAAUGCGUAGAGAUCCGGAAGAACACCGGUGGCGAAGGGCGGC